rnacentral:rRNA from 1 species
UAGGGAAUCUUCGGCAAUGGACGAAAGUCUGACCGAGCAACGCCGCGUGAGUGAAGAAGGUUUGCGGAUCGUAAAACUCUGUUGUUAGAGAAGAACAAGGACGUUAGUAACUGAACGUCCCCUGACGGUAUCUAACCAGAAAGCCACGGCUAACUACGUGCCAGCAGCCGCGGUAAUACGUAGGUGGCAAGCGUUGUCCGGAUUUAUUGGGCGUAAAGCGAGCGCAGGCGGUUUCUUAAGUCUGAUGUGAAAGCCCCCGGCUCAACCGGGGAGGGUCAUUGGAAACUGGGAGACUUGAGUGCAGAAGAGGAGAGUGGAAUUCCAUGUGUAGCGGUGAAAUGCGUAGAUAUAUGGAGGAACACCAGUGGCGAAGGCGGCUCUCUGGUCUGUAACUGACGCUGAGGCUCGAAAGCGUGGGGAGCAAACAGG